UUAACACAUGCAAGUCGAACGAUGAAGCUGGAGCUUGCUCCGGUGGAUUAGUGGCGAACGGGUGAGUAACACGUGAGCAAUCUGCCCUUGACUCUGGGAUAACUGCGGGAAACUGUAGCUAAUACCGGAUACGACCCUUGGAGGCAUCUCUGGGGGUGGAAAGAAUUUCGGUCAAGGAUGAGCUCGCGGCCUAUCAGCUAGUUGGUGAGGUAAUGGCUCACCAAGGCGACGACGGGUAGCCGGCCUGAGAGGGUGACCGGCCACACUGGAACUGAGACACGGUCCAGACUCCUACGGGAGGCAGCAGUGGGGAAUAUUGCACAAUGGGCGAAAGCCUGAUGCAGCAACGCCGCGUGAGCGAUGAAGGCCUUCGGGUCGUAAAGCUCUGUCCUCAAGGAAGAUAAUGACGGUACUUGAGGAGGAAGCCCCGGCUAACUACGUGCCAGCAGCCGCGGUAAUACGUAGGGGGCUAGCGUUAUCCGGAAUUACUGGGCGUAAAGGGUGCGUAGGUGGUUUCUUAAGUCAGAGGUGAAAGGCUACGGCUCAACCGUAGUAAGCCUUUGAAACUGGGAAACUUGAGUGCAGGAGAGGAGAGUGGAAUUCCUAGUGUAGCGGUGAAAUGCGUAGAUAUUAGGAGGAACACCAGUAGCGAAGGCGGCUCUCUGGACUGUAACUGACGCUGAGGCACGAAAGCGUGGGGAGCAAACAGGAUUAGAUACCCUGGUAGUCCACGCCGUAAA
rnacentral:rRNA from 1 species